AUUUAUAUAUUAUAUUCAGUAUAUUUAACUUCCAAUUAAAUGGUCUAAUUUAUUUUAGUAUAAAUA
rnacentral:tRNA from 2 species